ensembl:lncRNA
GGCAGAGCAAAUUGUACCUUUUCCAGAGUUAGUUUACCUUGUUAUAUGAUUUUAUCUUUCUUUCAGACUAGCAGAAUGUCAAUUUCCACAUUCCUGCUCAUCGUUUGGUUCCAGACAAUGGCCAUCUACCCGUGCACGGUGGACGCGUGGAUUGUUCCACAGCCCAAGAAAAAUGUGUGGGUCACACUCGCCCAAGCCUUGAAACAAGAUCACAUGUGUUUGUCUACUGCCUCAGCAGAAAAUCCGAUGUCCACAUGUUUAGUAGGGGUUCCAAGUAAGGGGGAUGAGUUUCCAAUCAGUCUGGUCCGCUUGCAAAAGCAGGUGAACGAAAAUAAAAUACCUGAGGUGGGAGCAGAGUUCUAUAAGCACCGAGGAGCUGUAGAACAAGUUAAAAUACCAGUGCAAAACCCCCUCAUUUUGUGGCAAAAGUGGAUCCUACAUUUGCCCUCUGCUGAGGGAGACCCCCAGGAAUUAGAACUCCUGGGCUCUGCAAAAGCUGAAUAUUGCAUUCAAUUGGAUUUUUCCCCAACCAAAGAAGUAAAACUAUAUGAGCAAGUCAAACAGUACAAGGUAGAAUUCAGGGCGGGUCAAUGGUGCACAGCUGUCUAUAAGCUGAAGUUUGCAUCCACCACUGAUUUCCGUCCCCACAAGCUGGACAAGGGAGUGUUUCUUAUCUGUGGGGACAGAGUAUACCCAGGAAUCCCCUCUCGUCUUAUCGGAGGUCCAUGCACUUUCGGGCAUCUGACCCUUGCUUCCCCCAACAUGACCCAAAUUCCAAUCGGGCGAGCAAAAGGUGAGAAAAAAAUUACUAAGCGAAGUGCAAGUCAAUUUGAUGAACAUUGUGAUGCAGAAAUUUACCAUUGGGCAAAAUCCAAAAGAGUUGCCGUCUCUGUGUUUUUACCAUGGGUUGCGGCAGCAAAAGCAUUGAGUGAAUUAGGCAAUCUGGAAUGCUGGGUGACAAAGCAGGCAAAUUUAACAUCAGCAGCCCUGAGUAACCUCCUAGAAGAUGAGGAAAUAACCAGAAAGGCUACCCUCCAAAAUCGGGCAGCUAUUGCUUUCCUGCUGUUGGCACAUGGUCAUGGAUGUAAAGAGUUUGAUGGUUUGUGUUGUUUUGAUCUGUCAUCUAAAGGCCAGAGUGUCCACUUGUCCAUUCAGGAAAUGAGAAGCCUCAUUGGGAGUGUGAAGCAAGAAAAUGAAGAUUGGUUUAAGGAUCUGUUCAAAGACUGGGACCUUUCUGGGUGGGCAGUGUCUCUUUUAAAAGACAUCUUUUACUUUCUAGCUGCACUGUUUUUAGUUUUGUUAGCAUUUGGGAUUCUUAAGCGAAUCAUCUCCAAGGUCAUCACCUCGAAGCCUAAGGCUUCCGCACCUGUUCUCAUCGCUGCUGCCGUCACGGAGAGCGAUUGGUGGGAAGACGACAAGCAGAAGGACACCGCAGUUUGAAAACCGCAGUUUUACCUUCUCCCAAGGCACCGUUCAUCUUAUUAAGUAAAGAAGAGGGAGAUGUUGCUAUCACGCUAGCGUGGUAGUGUGGAGGAAGGGAUUUAGAAAGGCCUUGGGGAGUUGGAAGCUGAGGAAAAGAUACAUUUAGGUAUGAGGGAAAGAUACAUUUAUGUAUGCCCCAUUGUUUCGGGAAAGUUUAGCUUCAGCACCUUUCUGUAAACCCCCUUUCUCCCCACCCCUGAGCAGUUCCCAUUGGACCUGACCCCUGGGGUGAUUCUGAUGAGCCCAUGCUGAACACUGUCUCUAUUGUUUAGACCUUAUCUCUUAAUUUUGCUGUAUAAAACUGUAUCUGGGCAGUAGCCCAGGGUCUUUUGUCCCUGCAACUGUUCAGGCAAUACAAUCUUUCUGGACUGCAUAU